rnacentral:lncRNA from 1 species
UCCUGCCCCUGCGUUGCGAGGAAGAAGAAGCCAGGGGAGAGAGAGAUGGGGCAGGUCCCGCAUGUAAGAGAGAGAAAGGGAGUGGAUAAGGCGUGCCCCGCCCGUCAGAGAGACACAGAGAGAGAGAGAGAGAGAUGUCAACCCCCCUCGGGCCUGCGCACUUUAAGUGGAAACGCCUCAGGCGUAUUUACGUUUUCCUCACGGGAAAGCGUAUUUUCCGGAGUGCGCGACCAAUGAGGCUGUGAGGGACUUGGUUGUGAUUAUUUAUAUUGCAGAUUAGUCCCUCGCAGAAAAGCUCUUAUAUCUUCUUAUCUAUAGCUCCGAUUCCGGCGAUUCCAAAGCCCACGUCUUCGUAUCAUCAGACCGUCAAGAUGGUACCAUUAUCACUAUGUGAUCACACAAUGGAAAUGACUAUAUUGCCCUUGCCGUAAACAGCCCCUCCUCUAAGAGAGAACUGUUUCUGGCGAUUCCUUCUGCGCGCUCCUCGCACUUCUUCCCGGUGGAUCCCUCAUCCCAGGCAAGCCACAACUCUAAUUUGCUUAACCGCAUUGCAAUAUCAUAGUUUAAUUAACUAUUUUAAUCACAAGUAUAUCUGUUUAUAGUCUGGAAUUAGUAUAUGCAAUGUUUGAAUAGAUGACUACUAUGAUGAGUACGGGAUUGUUAGUGACUAGUGUCUUACACACUAGUCGAUGCCACGAUGUUGAGAUUACUAUCUAUGAUUACUUUGGGUUUCAUCCGACAGUUUAUGGAUAUGGAUCAACAAUAGUAUCUUGAGCUUACUGGUUAUUGGAUUACUAUGACAUGAGAGUGUCAGUUAUGAGAGAGAUAUUAUUCAGGAAUAAGCUACUUAGUUGGUUGAUCGAGAGUCACCUGUCCGGGCUUAUCCGUGCUGCCACAUUUGCCGAUAUGGGACGGCCUUGACUUGGUCUGAUUGCGUGCUCUUUCACCGGUACCUCCAAAGAGGGAGCGUUAUGCACGCGUGUUACCUUGGCCCGGUAGGCGGUGAUAACCCUGUAAGCCAGUUGAGUUUUUUUGUGCGCACGCCCCCAUUUGGGCAAUUUAGUUUGGCCACAACGGUGGCAAGUGUCAUGAGGACACAGGGACACCCAGGGCAGGACUCCGGGGGAGGAUGAAUGUCGGUGGUACGAUGAAAGAGUCACGGGUCAGGCAUGUUUCGUUGGAGCAAUGCUGGUCCACCCGAAUGGGAUCACAAGGACAAUGCUCCAUAGUGUGGGUAAAGCGUGCAACCUAUGCAGAGUGUCAAAUAUAUUCGAAUAGUCGCGUCCACGGUAUUGGACAGCCCGUCCAAACCUCAGUAGGUGGUCAACCAUAACUAUGAUAGUAAUGAUGGAAGAACUCGUCUGAGUAUGGUAACAGUUGGGCAUCAUGCUGGUGACUGCUAUCCCACAGACAACAGCGUUAGAAAUUGACACGUUGACAGAGGCUGGGCUUGCAUUGGGUUUUCCCUUGAAGAGGAAAGGGUGAUGCAACACAGGAGCAGUAAGUAUUUCCCUCAGUUUGAGAACCAAGGUAUCGAUCCAGAAGGAGAGUCUCGUCAAGUCUAGAGUACCUGCACAAACACAAACAAGCUUGCACCCAACGCUUCAAAGGUGUUGUCAAUCCCUUCAAGAUUGUUUGCAAAGUGAGAUCUGAAGGCGGAAAGUGCAACGAAGUAAAAAGUGUAAGGCUGAAAAUAUGGUGUGGAGUAGACCCUGGAGGCCGUAGUGUUCACUAGAGGCUUCUCUCAAAAUAGCAAGUGUUACGGUGGGUGAACAAAUUACUGUCGAGCAAUUGAUAGAACCGCGCAAAGUCAUGACGAUAUCUAAGGCAAUGAUCAUACAUAUAGGCAUCACGUCCGAGACAAGUAGACCGAUACUUUCUGCAUCUAAUACUAUUACUCCACACAUCGACCGCUAUCCAGCAUGCAUCAGUGUAUUGAGUUCAUGACAAACAGAGUAACGCUUUAAGCAAGAUGACAUGAUGUAGAGGGAUAAUCUCAAACCAAUGAUGAAAACCCCAUCUUUNCUAGAGUACCUGCACAAACACAAACAAGCUUGCACCCAACGCUUCAAAGGUGUUGUCAAUCCCUUCAAGAUUGUUUGCAAAGUGAGAUCUGAAGGCGGAAAGUGCAACGAAGUAAAAAGUGUAAGGCUGAAAAUAUGGUGUGG